rnacentral:rRNA from 1 species
UUUUGGACAAUGGGCGCAAGCCUGAUCCAGCAAUGCCGCGUGAGUGAAGAAGGCCUUCGGGUUGUAAAGCUCUUUUGUCAGGGAAGAAACGGUGAGCUCUAAUACAGUUUGCUAAUGACGGUACCUGAAGAAUAAGCACCGGCUAACUACGUGCCAGCAGCCGCGGUAAUACGUAGGGUGCAAGCGUUAAUCGGAAUUACUGGGCGUAAAGCGUGCGCAGGCGGUUAUGUAAGUCAGAUGUGAAAUCCCCGGGCUCAACCUGGGAAUGGCAUUUGAGACUGCAUGGCUAGAGUGUGUCAGAGGGGGGUAGUAUUCCACGUGUAGCAGUGAAAUGCGUAGAGAUGGGAGGAAUACCGAUGGCGAAGGCAGCCCCCUGGGAUAACACUGACGCUCAUCACGAA